rnacentral:rRNA from 1 species
AUUGAACGCUGGCGGCAGGCCUAACACAUGCAAGUCGAGCGAGCGGCGGACGGGUGAGUCAUGUAUGGGGACUGCCCGAUAGAGGGGGAUUACUACUGGAAACGGUGGCUAAUACCGCAUACUGUUGGAUUACCCAUAUGGGAUUAGCUAGUUGGUAAGGUAAUGGCUUACCAAGGCGACGAUCCCUAGCUGGUCUGAGAGGAUGAUCAGCCACACGGGGACUGAGACACGGUCCAGACUCCUACGGAGGCAGCAGUGGGGAAUAUUGCACAAUGGGCGCAAGCCUGAUGCAGCCAUGCCGCGUGUAUGAAGAAGGCCUUAGGGUUGUAAAGUACUUUCAGUCGGGAGGCGUUACCGACAGAAGAAGCACCGGCUAACUCCGUGCCAGCAGCCGCGGUAAUAC